AUUGAACGCUGGCGGAAUGCUUUACACAUGCAAGUCGAGCGGCAGCACGGGGGCAACCCUGGUGGCGAGCGGCGAACGGGUGAGUAAUACAUCGGAACAUGCCCAGUCGUGGGGAUAACACUUCGAAAGAAGUGCUAAUACCGCAUACGUCCUGAGGGAGAAAGCGGGGGAUCUUCGGACCUCGCGCGAUUGGAGUGGCCGAUGUCAGAUUAGCUAGUUGGUGGGGUAAAGGCCUACCAAGGCAACGAUCUGUAGCUGGUCUAAGAGCAUGAUCAGCCACACGGGCACUGAGACACGGGCCCGACUCCUACGGGAGGCAGCAGUAAGGAAUUUUGGACAAUGGGCGCAAGCCUGAUCCAGCCAUGCCGCGUGCAGGAUGAAGGCCUUCGGGUUGUAAACUGCUUUUGUACGGAACAAAAAGACUCUGGUUAAUACCUGGGGUCCAUGACGGUACCGUAAGAAUAAGCACCGGCUAACUACGUACCAGCAGCCGCCGCCGUAA
rnacentral:rRNA from 1 species